UACAGAGGUCUCAAGCGUUGUUCGGAUUCAUUGGGCGUAAAGGGUGCGUAGGCGGCGCGGUAAGUCGGGUGUGAAAUCUCGGAGCUUAACUCCGAAACUGCAUUCGAUACUGCCGUGCUUGAGGACUGGAGAGGAGACUGGAAUUUACGGUGUAGCGGUGAAAUGCGCAGAUAUCAGGAGGAACACCGGUGGCGAAGGCGGUUCUCUGGGCCUUACCUGACGCUGAGGAGCGAAAGCGUGGGGAGCAAACAGG
rnacentral:rRNA from 1 species